UGACGGUAUCAUAUGAAUAAGCACCGGCUAACUCCGUGCCAGCAGCCGCGGUAAUACGGGGGGUGCAAGCGUUACUCGGAAUCACUGGGCGUAAAGAGCAUGUAGGCGGGUGAAUAAGUUGGAAGUGAAAUCCUAUAGCUUAACUAUAGAACUGCUUCCAAAACUGUUCACCUAGAGUAUGGGAGAGGUAGAUGGAAUUUCUGGUGUAGGGGUAAAAUCCGUAGAGAUCAGAAGGAAUACCGAUUGCGAAGGCGAUCUACUGGAACAUUACUGACGCUCAGAUGCGAAAGCGUGGGGAGCAAACAGGAUUAGAUACCCUGGUAGUCCACGCCCUAAACGAUGUACACUAGUUGUUGCUAUACUAGAUAUGGCAGUAAUGCAGUUAACACUUUAAGUGUACCGCCUGGGGAGUACGGUCGCAAGAUUAAAACUCAAAGGAAUAGACGGGGACCCGCACAAGCGGUGGAGCAUGUGGGUUAAUUCGACGAUACGCGAAAAACCUUACCUGGCCUUGACAUAGUAGGAAUCUUUAAAAGAUUAGAAAAUGCUAGCUUGCUAGAACCUACAUACAGGUGCUGCACGGCUGUCGUCAGC
rnacentral:rRNA from 1 species